ensembl:lncRNA
ACUGGAUUAAAUAAAAGAGUGUUGUGAUAGUUAGAGAGGUAGACUACUGGAUUAAAUAAAAGAGUGUUGUGAUAGUUCUUUCAGUUAGAGAGGGAGACUACUGGAUUAAAUAAAAGAGUGUUCUUACAGUUAGAGCGGUAGUCUACUGGAUUAAAUAAAAGAGUGCUGUGAUAGUUAGAGAGGUAGUCUACUGGAUUAAAUAAAAUAGUCUUGUGAUAGUUAGAGAGGUAGUCUACUGGAUUAAAUAAAAGAGUGUUGUGAUAGUUAGAGCGGUUAGAGAGGUAGUCUACUGGAUUAAAUAAAAGAGUGUUGUGUGGAGGGAGAGUGUUGUGUGGAGGGAGAGUGUUGUAGAGCAGGCUACUAGCAGCAGUGUGAGAGCUGUGACGAAGAUG